CAUACGUUUUGCAAACGAGUUGGCAACAGCGCUUUGUUUUGAUUUGACGUCAUUUAAAUGGCUGGUACUAGUUUCGCACGUGGACUCUUGGAGAAGUAUGGAUGGGCUGAAGGCAAGGGACUCGGAAAAAAUGAAUCCGGCAUUGCAAAGGCAUUGAAACCGAGGCUUAAAUUUGAUACCGCUGGGGUUGGGCACAAGAUCGAUCUCACAUCCCAGUGGUGGAGCAAGGCAUUCAAUGAUGCAGCUAGGAGUAUCAAUGUUGAUGUCUCUGAUGUAAGUCCUGGAGGAGCUUUCUCUCUUUUGUUUGUUUCACUGUUGCAGGAAAUGGUAAUUAGGAUGACGGAGGUGAAAAUGAUGGUCCUAGCUAACUUGAAAC
rnacentral:lncRNA from 1 species